rnacentral:tRNA from 1 species
GCGCCUGUAGUUCAGCGGAUCAGAAUGCCUGCCUUCGGAGCAGGAGGUCGGGGGUUCGAAUCCCUCCAGGCGCA